UACGUAGGAUGCGAGCGUUUUCCGGAAUUACUGGGCGUAAAGAGUUCGUAGGUGGUUUUUCACGUUGUUCGUGAAAUCUCACGGCUUAACUGCUUGUGUGCAGUUGAAACUGAUAGACUAGAGUACAGAUGGGGAAAAGGGAAUUCCUAGUGUAGCGGUGAAAUGCGUAGAUAUUAGGAGGAACACCGGUGGCGAAGGCGGGUCUCUGGGCUGUAACUGACGCUGAGGGGCGAAAGCGUGGGGAGCGAAAAGG
rnacentral:rRNA from 1 species